AAUGAACGCUGGCGGCAUGCCUAACACAUGCAAGUCGAACGAAGGCUUCGGCCCUAGUGGCGCACGGGUGCGUAACGCGUGGGAAUCUGCCCUUGGGUUCGGAAUAACUCAGAGAAAUUUGAGCUAAUACCGGAUGAUGUCGAAAGACCAAAGAUUUAUCGCCCAAGGAUGAGCCCGCGUAGGGUUAGCUAGUUGGUGAGGUAAAGGCUCACCAAGGCGACGAUCCUUAGCUGGGCUGAGAGGAUGAUCAGCCACACUGGGACUGAGACACGGCCCAGGCUCCUACGGGAGGCAGCAGUGGGGAAGAUAGGACAAUGGGCGAAAGCCUGAUCCAGCAAUGCCGCGUGAGUGAUGAAGGCCUUAGGGUUGUAAAGCUCUUUUACCCGGGAUGAUAAUGACAGUACCGGGAGAAUAAGCUCCGGCUAACUUCGUGCCAGCAGCAGCCGCCGUAA
rnacentral:rRNA from 1 species